rnacentral:rRNA from 1 species
GCCGAACGCCCUAUCACUAUAGGGCGUGACGCACGGCUGAGUAACACGUGGCUAACCUGCCCUAGGGACUGGGAUAACUCCGGGAAACUGGAGCUAAACCCGGAUAGGUGAGGAUUCCUGGAAUGGUUCCUCGCCCAAAGAGAUCUCAAGGGGUUAAUGCUUGAGAUCUGCCCUAGGAUGGGGCUACGUCCCAUCAUGGUUGUUGGCGGGGUAAUGGCCCGCCAAGCCAACGACGGGUAGGGGCCCUGAGAGGGGGAGCCCCCAGAUGGACCCUGAGACAAGGGUCCAGGCCCUACGGGGCGCACCAGGCGCGAAACCUCUGCAAUGUGGGAAACCGUGACAGGGUUAUCCCGAGUGCUCCCGUUAAGGGAGCUUUUCCUCGCUGUAAGGAGGCGAGGGAAUAAGCGGGGGGCAAGACUGGUGUCAGCCGCCGCGGUAAUACCAGCCCCGCGAGUAGCCGGGACGAUUACUGGGCCUAAAGCGCCCGUAGCCGGUCUGAUAAGUCCUCUCUGAAAGCUCCGGGCUCAACCCGGAGAGCGGAGAGGAUACUUUCAGGCUAGGGGGCGGGAAAGGCCGGGGGUACUCCUAGGGUAGGGGCGAAAUCCGAUAAUCCUAGGAGGACCACCAGUGGCGAAGGCGCCCGGCUGGAACGCGCCCGACGGUGAGGGGCGAAAGCUGGG